GGGGAAGAACAAAAGAAACGGCUGGAGAAGUUAAUGCCCAGGACCAUGACAGUUAGGGAGUGGGAAGAGUUUGUGAAACAUGUAGACUCUAUUGAAUUCAGAGUCAGAAGAAUAAAAAUGCAAGAAAAUCGUUCAAAACACACCACCCCACAUACCAUAAGUCGAGAAGGUUACGCCCGAUUGGAGGUGAAAUUGCAAGUUGUUAAGCUGGUACAAGGAGGACGAGGUGGUUGCAGAGGCUGAAAUUGCUGAAACAGAUCCAAGUAAGCAGAUACAUGGAAAACCAAUCGGUCUUGGAGCCUACACUGUAUGUGUGAAGGUUUCUUAUGUGGAUGAUGCUCUUGUCUACCAAGCUACUUCAGAAGUCAGAACUGUUCAUGAUGUUGUUUCAAAUUUUAUCACAUGGCCCAAAGAUAGAAUAAUCUACUAAUAGACUUCUUAAUCUUUUG